GACGAACGCUGGCGGCGUGCUUAACACAUGCAAGUCGAACGAAGUGGCGAACGGGUGAGUAACGCGUAAUCAACCUGCCCUUCAGGGGGGGUCACCAGUUGGAAACGACUGCUAAUCCCGCAUACUGAUGGACGGGAUUGCGUCUGAUUGGCUAGUUGGGGGGGUAACGGCCCACCAAGGCGAUGAUCAGUAGCCGGUCUGGGAGGAUGAACGGGCAAAUCGGGACUGAGAAACGGGCCAGGCUCCUAAGGGAGGCAGGAGGGGGGAAAUUUCCGAAAUGGGCGGAAGUCGGGAGGAGGAACGCCGGGGGGGAGAUGACAGCCUUCGGGUUGGAAAGCUCUGUUAAUCGGGGCGCGGUACCCGAAUAAAAAGCCACGGCUAACUACGUGCCAGCAGCCGCGGUAAUAC
rnacentral:rRNA from 1 species